rfam:Triticum aestivum genome assembly, contig: Triticum_aestivum_CS42_TGACv1_scaffold_130258_2BL
AAAGUACUCCCUCCAUCUGAAAAUACUUGUCAUCAAAAUGAAUAAAAAGGGAUGUAUCUUGAACUAAUAUAUGUCUAGAUACAUCCCCUUUUAUUCAUUUUGAUGACAAGUAUUUCCGGACGGGGGGGGGGGGUG